GACGAACGCUGGCGGCGUGCCUAAUACAUGCAAGUUGAGCGAUGAAGAUUGGUGCUUGCACCAAUUUGAAGAGCAGCGAACGGGUGAGUAACGCGUGGGGAAUCUGCCUUUGAGCGGGGGACAACAUUUGGAAACGAAUGCUAAUACCGCAUAACAACUUUAAACAUAAGUUUUAAGUUUGAAAGAUGCAAUUGCAUCACUCAAAGAUGAUCCCGCGUUGUAUUAGCUAGUUGGUGAGGUAAAGGCUCACCAAGGCGAUGAUACAUAGCCGACCUGAGAGGGUGAUCGGCCACAUUGGGACUGAGACACGGCACAAACGCCUACGGGAGGCAGCAGUAGGGAAUCUUCGGCAAUGGACGAAAGUCUGACCGAGCAACGCCGCGUGAGUGAAGAAGGUUUUCGGAUCGUAAAACUCGGUUGGUAGAGAAGAACGUUGGUGAGAGUGGAAAGCUCAUCAAGUGACGGUAACUACCCAGAAAGGGACGGCUAACUACGUG
rnacentral:rRNA from 1 species